GCAUCUUUACUAUCUUCAGACAAUAACGUCUGCAAUGGUUUGGUCAUGUCCGCUGGACGGAAGACGAUCGUAUCCCGCCAUCCUUUAUGGACAACUCGCUCAAGAACAACUGCACGUCCCCAUCUGUGGAUGUUAUCUCAUUGGGACCUCAAAGUAGUGGACGUACAGGACGUCAACACUGGACCGCACUGUGUGGAGAGAGAUGGUGAGAAAGAAAACAUAACACUGGACCGCACUGUGUGGAGAGAGAUGGUGAGAAAGAAAACAUAACACUGGACCGCACUGUGUGGAGAGAGAUGGUGAGAAAGAAAACAUAACACUGGACCGCACUGUGUGGAGAGAGAUGGUGACAAAUAAAACAUAACACUGGACCGCACUGUGUGGAGAGAGAUGGUGACAAAGAAAACAUAACACUGGACCGCACUGUGUGGAGAGAGAUGGUGACAAAGAAAACUUAAUAUAGCGAACAAGCGUUGGCAUUAGCUCUGAAAGAAAAGCGAGCCAAUACAAAAAAUGGCGGGUCCCUCUACCACCAAAACUAAAAAAAAAAAACUGCGAAGAAGACACACACUCGAUCUCCAUCUCAUUUGAGACAUUCCAGUGCUCUCACUGCAUGUUUAUAAACACAUAAAUUAGACUCUACAUUGGAUGUUUGUCAUGCAUAUAUAGUACCGUAAGGAAAGAGUUGACAAUGUUUACAUGAAAGUCACCAGCAUAGACACAAACAAAUGAACCUUACAAUGAAUUAAAAGGAGACAUUCAGAAAUCUAUUGUAUUCAUGACCUGAAAUAAUAAAGCUUGUGUUACAGAACCAUACAGACACAAGAAGUAAAAAUAAAUUACAAUGACAGCUCAACAAAAACAAACAUUAGACUUAUGAUUUUGUGCUUGGUCUAGUUACUAUAUGUCCACAAGCUCAACAUUGAUCAUUAACUGACUGUCACGUCUGGUAGUGAAGUAGAUGACAUAAAGAAAACGGGUUCAAUUUAUUUCAGUAGCCACAGCUAGAUUGCAGUCCUAGUCCUAAUGUUGCGAAAAGUUCAUCCCCAGUACGAUAUAGUGGUAAGAAUGCAAUAUUACAACUAAUGCUGAACUCCAUGGGGCAUUCCUUUACAAGAAUGUAUAAAAAGCUUAUUGCUUCAUAGGUCUCGAGCUAAAUCAAGAAAUGUUUUUCUUGAACGCUUUCAUCAAACAAUGUCUGCGCUCCACCAUGAAUGGAGGCAAGACUUGAAGAGCGAUGGUCUUGAGAAUGCCGGGAUCGACAGUGUAGAGGGACAGCUUAUAGUUUGACAGCUUCGCUCGCCAGGGCACGUAUCCCAUAUGGUUGGCGUAACAGAGGUGCCCCCUCUUUAAGGUCGCAGGAUAUACUUUGUAAAACCUAAAGGAAAUCUAUAGCCAAAGACAGAUCUAGACAUCGAAAAGAGAACCUAAACAGACCACCAAGGCAGAACAACGGGUACCGUAUGCGCUGGAUGUGGGGAAAAAAUGAGAUCACAGCUAGGACUGCAUAGCCACGUGACAUACUGUACUUAACUUCCGACUCGAAGUAGUGCCUUUUUAUUCUGUUUGUUUAUAGUCAUAAUUAGAUACGGUAUCUAUUCAAUUGACGGGAACAACUAGACAUAGUAUUCAUAAUUCUUGAAUCCAAUAUCAUUUCAAAGACUAAAGCCUAUAAUUAGCUUGCAUAAAUAAUUGUAUACACACACUCACACACAAACAUACAGUAUGAAUAUUUGUCAAUUAAUAAUCACAAUUCUCGCAGUUGUCUACAAUUCAAUGUUAGAAUGUAAACAAAAUAAAAGUGCAUGUCUGUUUUGUUUUACAAGUUCAACAUAAGAGUCAGGACCAAAAGCAAGAGUGAUUUUCUAUUCAUUAUAUAUAUUACAUUUAUAAUACCCAUAUUUCAGUGGAUUCAAUUAAAAUGUAUUAACAACAAACAUAUCUAUUUUAAAUUGAAAAGGUGUCAAGGGUGACAGGGUAUAUCCAGUGAAACUCAAAAAAAGUGAUCAAGAGUGAGUGCCUUAGACUCCAGUGCUAUGAAUAAAUAGGUACCAUACUACAAACACAAUACUACAUAGAUUGAGCAGAGACAUUUUCUUCCAGACAUUGGAAUCACAAUGUGGUUGAAUUAUAAGUGUAUACACAAAAUAAGAUUAAUGAAUCAAAGACGAAAGAUAAUUU
rnacentral:sRNA from 1 species